rnacentral:misc_RNA from 1 species
UUGAUUGAUUCAUCAAGUACUCCGACGUACAGAUACAGAGUUGGAGUGGUCCACCGGGGUGCCCGACGGCCGACGCGUCGGCGUCCGGGUCGCCCCCGAGGCAACAAGUGUGGUCAAAGGGUUGGAGGUCGGGCCGGAGGCCCUCACUCGGUAAUGAUCCCUCCGCAGGUUCACCUACGGAGA